UACGUAGGGUGCGAGCGUUGUCCGGAAUUAUUGGGCGUAAAGGGCUCGUAGGCGGUCUGUCACGUCGGGAGUGAAAACUCAGGGCUUAACCCUGAGCCUGCUUCCGAUACGGGCAGACUAGAGGUAUGCAGGGGAGAAUGGAAUUCCUGGUGUAGCGGUGAAAUGCGCAGAUAUCAGGAGGAACACCAGUGGCGAAGGCGGUUCUCUGGGCAUUACCUGACGCUGAGGAGCGAAAGUGUGGGGAGCGAACAGG
rnacentral:rRNA from 1 species